CUCGUAGGAGCUCGGGGCGAGACACACUUCCGGUGGUAUUGGUUUUGGCGGACAGAAUGGCGCCUUGAACAACAAAGAAUAUCAUACCUGAAGAAGAGGCCUUUGCACUCUCUUGAGGUUCGUCAUCCAAAACCUUUGCUGUCGUCGUGCGAUGAGCGCUGCACGAAUCGAGUUUUCGAAUACCUCAUUGACACCGUAAUAAGCUUGUUGAAAAAGUCCAACAAAUUGGUGAAUCGCUGAAAAUACUUGCCUCACGAAAGGGCUGCGAUCUCGAAAGUAGCUGAGAUACGUCUCGUCUCUGUACAUGUAACGAAGAUCGUUUUUACAUCCGACGAGAAGAAUCGGAGUUUGUGGACAAAACCGUCGGAUUUCCGGAUACCACAUGGCCUUGCAAUUCCUCAGAGACACUGGAUUCGUUAUUGAGAAGCACAAGAGCACCACGUCCGAUCUACACACAUUACAAUGAUCGUUUUACCACGGAGGAAAAUUCUCGAGUUGUAACGCCCGAUUAAUAUCUCACUUUCAUCGAGUAACACCGUGCCAUGGAAGUGAUCGAUAACCCUUUGACCAUCGCGAAGCUUCAGAGCAGCUCGACGCGUUUCCAGGAGAAUAAACAGUUCGGUUGUUUGCCCUUUUUCUCUCUCGACUGUAGUGUUUGCAUAAUUGCUCACGAUAAUUGAUAAGGCAUCGAACAUCGCUCACGAACGUUAUUAAGGCCUUACGGACUCGCAUCGGAUCGUCCCGAUUUUCGAUUAGUUUCGACAAUGAUUUAUGGAUUUUUGGAGUCUGAGAAAACCCCUAUUUUCUCAAUGAAGCCUGAAAAAAGCUGCGUUCAAGGGAAAAAAGUGUAGAAGCAGAACGUGAGUCAAGCUGGAGCGGAAUUAUUAGUACAUACAUGCGUAUAAAUAAAUAUUAAUGUCGAUAAGUAAAGAAAACGACAUGCGAUAUGGGUGUAAACGACAAAGACUUUGCCGCAGUAAAUGAGUCGCCGUGUUUGAGUGCGCGCAAAGACUGGACAGUCGUGUUAUCGCGGUGGUGAGUCAAAGGGGUCGAUAAGCUUCGUUGGGUUCGUGCAACCGCGGCCUCCACCCUGGACAAAAAUACAUAUAUAUCGCUUCGAGGUGUAACGUAUAAAAGGAUUCUUUACAUUAUGAAAAUAAUCUUUCGCCGUGCUCAUAUUAUAAGUACGGUAAAUACAAAUAUUGAAGUUUUUUCACCGAGAAAAAAGCUCUGUUACGAACAAUACCGCUAAGUACAAAAAUGACAUGUACUUAGGCAGGUUUUCUCGAUGAUAAAACUUUAUUUUUGCACAGAAAAACUUUUGCACCCGCGGCUGAAUAGCUUUAGCACUGAAACUAGAUCGAACUCGGUUCCGAAGAUUCUCAACGGGCUAUAAAGAAGCCCUAAAUAUAAAACGGAAACGUUUUUCUGCCGCUUUUAUCGUCGCGAAAUGACGACAAGCAUUUUAGUAUGGAGCGAGUGAUUUUUGUCGCCGAGUGGACACUAAAAGUACGUUUUGCAUGAGGGAAAGCUUUGCAGCGCGAAGCCGAGUCGAACUUGAGAUCCGAAUAAUUUGCUCGAUCACGAGCAUGCGGAAAAGUAAAGUUUUUUUUUCCCUAUCAAAUUGGCGAUUUUCGUGAUAAAAAUGUGGCAAAUUCUCGAAUUUUUCUGCGCAGAAAAUCAGUACUGCCUUCGAUCAAGGAGAAUUAAAAAGUUCGAUCGACUUGAUAGAAUGUUUCGCCGGCUCUGAAGUCACCAUGACUUCUUUAGAGCAACGCGAGCUUCGAAAUCUACAAGAAAAGUCUCCACAAGCUUCGAGCAGUCGACCGAACUUUCCUCUUCUGCAGUAUUUUCCUAAGUUGAAUUCGUUGUUCCACCGGGGAAAAAAGAUAAAUUCAAGAGCUUAUUUUUUCUGUGGCCCUCGGGAAUGUAAAUUUUUGUUAAAAUUUAAGGAGAAUAGAAAAAAAGCUAGAAAUAUUGGUCUCGCGGGGAUUCUUCUCGUAUGCAACAUUUCGUAGCAUGGUGUAGCCACGAGAUGUACCUCGACGCUGGCGCAUUGCAGAACGCCGUUGGGGUCAACGUUACGGGGAGUUGAAAGAGCCCCUUUUUCUCGAUCGUAUGUUGGCGAGGCCCGAACAGCAAAAACUCUGCAGCUCACGCUCCACAGCAAUACUCUGGUCCAUCCGAGCUUGGAUUUUUCUAUGUACACGCUUCCAUAUACGAUCAGACUUUUCAGUUCGAUAGCCCGGGGAGGCUUUUGGCUGGGUAUUAUGGAUCGACGUGGAAAAAAAAUGCUCACGCCAGGCAGAUAUCGAUCAACCGAGCGCGGAGCGACGAUGAAAAAUAUUCAGACCUCUCCGCGGCGGUUCUCGUGGCGCAAUAAACUGAGCAGAAUCGUUGAAUGUUCCAUAUAUUAUAAACGGCCGCACACGGACAUACAUGAAAUGGAUUUUUUUCCGUCGCCUUCUUAGUCGCCAUUUUUCAAAAUCCUUUUCAUAUGAAAAGUAGGUCCGAAUUGAAAGGGGAUUAUCUGAGAAACCUGAAAAGUGUGCGGAUCGAUAUCCAAAAUGUUCGCCACAAAAUAAUGCUUCUAACAAUAAAAAAGCUCAGGUGAAUGCUU
rnacentral:lncRNA from 1 species